rnacentral:rRNA from 1 species
CCUACGGGUGGCAGCAGUGAGGAAUAUUGGUCAAUGGCCGGAAGGCUGAACCAGCCAUGCCGCGUGAAGGUCAGUGCCCUAUGGGCGUUAAACUUCUUUUGUGCGGGAGCAAUAAUGGUCACGUGUGGCCAGACGAGAGUACCGUACGAAUAAGCAUCGGCUAACUCUGUGCCAGCAGCCGCGGUAAUACGGGUGAUGCAAGCGUUAUCCCGAUUUAUUGGGUUUAAAGGGUGCGUAGGCUGGGAGGUAAGUCAGCGGUGAAAUGCCCCCGCGCAACGGGGUGAAGUGCCAUUGAUACUGGCUGGCUGGAAUGCGGAUGCGGUGGGAGGAAUGUGUGGUGUAGCGGUGAAAUGCAUAGAUAUCAGACAGAACACCGAUUGCGAAGGCAUCUCACGAAUCCGCGAUUGACGCUGAUGCACGAAAGCGUGGGGAUCAAACAGGAUUAGAUACCCCAGUAGUC